CGAGCCGUCCCCGGGGUGCGAAGUGCUGGACGUGCUCCGCCGAGGUGACGGGCCGGGGGGCGCAGCCUGGCUGCGGCGGAGGCGCAAGGGGGAUGUGAAAGCCCAAAAUGACCCUCCUACCGGGAGACAACUCCGAUUACGACUACAGCGCCCUGAGCUGCGCCUCGGACGCCUCCUUCCACCCGGCCUUCUUCCCGCAGGGCCAGUCCCUCAAGGGCGUGUUCUACCGCCGGGCGCAGCGGCUGCGACCCCGACCCCGAACCCAGGACGCGCCCCGCCAGGCGGGCCAGCCCGAGGACCGGCGGCGGCAGAUCAUCAUCAACGUGGGCGGCAUCAAGUACUCGCUGCCCUGGACCACGCUCGAGGAGUUCCCGCUGACGCGCCUGGGCCAGCUCAAGGCCUGCACCAACUUCGACGACAUCCUCAACGUGUGUGACGACUACGACGUGACCUGCAACGAGUUCUUCUUCGACCGCCACCCGGGGGCCUUCGGCACCAUCCUGACCUUCCUGCGGGCGGGCAAGCUGCGCCUGUUGCGCGAGAUGUGCGCCCUGUCCUUCCAGGAGGAGCUGCUCUACUGGGGCAUCGCCGAGGACCGCCUGGACGGCUGCUGCAAGCGCCGCUACCUGCAGAAGAUCGAGGAGUUCGCCGACGUGGUGGAGCGCGACGACGACGAGCCGCCGUCCAGCGAGGACCCCGGCAGCGAGGGCCCGGCCGAGGGCGAGGGCCGCCUGGGCCGCUGCAUGCGGAGACUGCGCGACAUGGUGGAGAGGCCGCACUCGGGGCUGCCGGGCAAGGUGUUCGCCUGCCUCUCGGUGCUCUUCGUCACCGUCACGGCCGUCAACCUGUCCAUCAGCACCCUGCCCAGCCUGCGGGAGGAGGAGGAGCAGGUAAGAGCCACAGCUGCGUGCGGGGGAGGCUCGUUGAGGGGAGGGGGGGUCCUCUGA